UUUACCCCAACACAGCUCAUUUGGUAGACCGUGAGACUCUUAAUCUCAGGGUUGUGGGUUUGAACCCCACACUGGGCAAAG